rnacentral:rRNA from 1 species
AGGUGGUCAGGUAGAGAAUACCAAGGCGCUUGAGAGAACUCGGGUGAAGGAACUAGGCAAAAUGGUGCCGUAACUUCGGGAGAAGGCACGCUGGCAUGUAGGUGAAGUCCUUCGCGGAUGGAGCUGAAGCCAGUCGAAGAUACCAGCUGGCUGCAACUGUUUAAUAAAAACACAGCACUGUGCAAACACGAAAGUGGACGUAUACGGUGUGACGCCUGCCCGGUGCUGGAAGGUUAAUUGAUGGGGUCAGCCGCAAGGCGAAGCUCUUGAUCGAAGCCCCAGUAAACGGCGGCCGUAACUAUAACGGUCCUAAGGUAGCGAAAUUCCUUGUCGGGUAAGUUCCGACCUGCACGAAUGGCGUAAUGAUGGCCAGGCUGUCUCCACCCGAGACUCAGUGAAAUUGAACUCGCUGUGAAGAUGCAGUGUACCCGCGGCAAGACGGAAAGACCCCGUGAACCUUUACUAUAGCUUGACACUGAACAUUGAGCCUUGAUGUGUAGGAUAGGUGGGAGGCUUUGAAGCGUGGACGCCAGUCUGCGUGGAGCCAUCCUUGAAAUACCACCCUUUAAUGUUUGAUGUUCUAACUCGGCCCCGUGAUCCGGGGUGAGGACAGUGUCUGGUGGGUAGUUUGACUGGGGCGGUCUCCUCCCAAAGAGUAACGGAGGAGCACGAAGGUUAGCUAAUCACGGUCGGACAUCGUGAGGUUAGUGCAAAGGCAUAAGCUAGCUUGACUGCGAGAGUGACGGCUCGAGCAGGUACGAAAGUAGGUCUUAGUGAUCCGGUGGUUCUGAAUGGAAGGGCCAUCGCUCAACGGAUAAAAGGUACUCCGGGGAUAACAGGCUGAUACCGCCCAAGAGUUCAUAUCGACGGCGGUGUUUGGCACCUCGAUGUCGGCUCAUCACAUCCUGGGGCUGAAGUAGGUCCCAAGGGUAUGGCUGUUCGCCAUUUAAAGUGGUACGCGAGCUGGGUUUAGAACGUCGUGAGACAGUUCGGUCCCUAUCUGCCGUGGGCGUUGGAAGAUUGAGAGGGGUUGCUCCUAGUACGAGAGGACCGGAGUGAACGCACCACUGGUGUUCGGGUUGUCAUGCCAAUGGCAUUGCCCGGUAGCUAAGUGCGGAAAAGAUAAGCGCUGAAAGCAUCUAAGCGCGAAACUUGCCUCAA